CAGCCGUCCGUAGAGACGCCAUUUUGUGGAGCGGCCGAACCCUGUAGGAGGUUCUGGGGUCCAGAACCGCUACGACCAUUGCGUCGGUCCCUCCUGGCGAAAAAAUAAAAUUUGAGCCUUUUGAAGCCUUUUGCUAGAUCUUCAGUUGAACAAUGGGUUCAGACAAACGAGUGAGUAGAACAGAACGAAGUGGAAGAUACGGUUCCAUUAUAGACAGGGAUGAUCGUGAUGAGCGUGAAUCCAGAAGCAGACGGAGGGACUCUGAUUAUAAAAGAUCUAGUGAUGAUCGAAGAGGUGAUAGAUAUGAUGACUAUCGGGACUAUGAUAGU